AGUGAACGCUGGCGGUAGGCCUAACACAUGCAAGUCGAACGGCAGCACACUAAGAGCUUGCUCUUACGGGUGGCGAGUGGCGGACGGGUGAGGAAUACAUCGGAAUCUACUUUUUCGUGGGGGAUAACGUAGGUAAACUUACGCUAAUACCGCAUACGACCUACGGGUGAAAGCAGUGGAUCUUCUGACCUUGCGCGAUUGAAUGCGCCGAUGUCGGAUUAGCUAGUUGGCGGGUUAAAGGCCCACCAAGUCGACGAUACGUAGCUGGUCUGAGAGGAUGAUCAGCCACACUGGAGCGUGGACACGGUCAAGGGUACUGAGAGAGGGAGCAGAGGGGAAUGUUGGGCAAUAGGGGGAAACAUGGUCCAGUGAGAGCGAGUGGGUGAAAAAGACGUUGGGGUUGUGAAGACGGUUUGUUGGGAGAGAAAAGCAGCAGGUUAUUACCACGCGGUACUGACGGUAACGAAUAAAUAAGCACCGGCUAACUACGUG
rnacentral:rRNA from 1 species